rnacentral:rRNA from 1 species
AGUGAACGCUGGCGGUAGGCCUAACACAUGCAAGUCGAACGGCAGCACAGUAAGAGCUUGCUCUUACGGGUGGCGAGUGGCGGACGGGUGAGGAAUACAUCGGAAUCUACUUUUUCGUGGGGGAUAACGUAGGGAAACUUACGCUAAUACCGCAUACGACCUACGGGUGAAAGCAGGGGAUCUUCGGACCUUGCGCGAUUGAAUGAGCCGACGUCGGAUUAGCUAGUUGGCGGGGUAAAGGCCCACCAAGGCGACGAUCCGUAGCUGGUCUGAGAGGAUGAUCAGCCACACUGGAACUGAGACACGGUCCAGACUCCUACGGGAGGCAGCAGUGGGGAAUAUUGGACGAUGGGCGCAGGCCUGAUCCAGCCAUACCGCGUGGGUGAAGAAGGCCUUCGGGUUGUAAAGCCCUUUUGUUGGGAAAGAAAAGCAGCAGGUUAAUACCCCGCUGUUCUGACGGUACCCAAAGAAUAAGCACCGGCUAACUUCGUG